AUUGAACGCUGGCGGCAGGCCUAACACAUGCAAGUCGAGCGGAUGAAGGGAGCUUGCUCCUGGUUUCAGCGGCGGACGGGUGAGUAAUGCCUAGGAAUCUGCCUGGUAGUGGGGGAUAACGUCCGGAAACGGGCGCUACUACCGCCUACGUCCUGCGGGAGCAAGUGGGGGAUCUUCGGACCUCACGCCCUCAGAUGAGCCUAGGUCGGAGUAGCUAGUUGGUGGGGUAAAGGCCUUCCAAGGCGACGAUCCGUAACUGGUCUGAGAGGAUGAUCAGUCACACUGGAACUGAGACACGGUCCAGGCUCCUACGGGAGGCAGCAGUGGGGAAUAUUGGACAGUGGGCGGAAACCUGAUCCAGCCAUGCCGCGUGUGUGGAGAAGGUCUUCGGAUUGUAAAGCACUUUAAGUUGGGAGGAAGGGCAGUAAGUUAAUACCUUGCUGUUGUGACGUUACCAACAGAAUAAGCACCGGCUAACUUCGUG
rnacentral:rRNA from 1 species